rnacentral:rRNA from 1 species
CAGCCGCCACGGUAAUACGGAGGGUGCAAGCAUUAAUCGGAAUUACUGGGCGUAAAGCGCACGCAGGCGGUUUGUUAAGUCAGAUGUGAAAUCCCCGAGCUUAACUUGGGAACUGCAUUUGAAACUGGCAAGCUAGAGUCUUGUAGAGGGGGGUAGAAUUCCAGGUGUAGCGGUGAAAUGCGUAGAGAUCUGGAGGAAUACCGGUGGCGAAGGCGGCCCCCUGGACAAAGACUGACGCUCAGGUGCGAAAGCGUGGGGAGCAAACAGGAUUAGAUACCCCUGUAGUCCCUGUCUCUUAUAA